rnacentral:rRNA from 1 species
AUACGGAGGGUGCAAGCGUUAAUCGGAAUUACUGGGCGUAAAGCGCACGCAGGCGGUUUGUUAAGUCAGAUGUGAAAUCCCCGGGCUCAACCUGGGAACUGCAUCUGAUACUGGCAAGCUUGAGUCUCGUAGAGGGGGGUAGAAUUCCAGGUGUAGCGGUGAAAUGCGUAGAGAUCUGGAGGAAUACCGGUGGCGAAGGCGGCCCCCUGGACGAAGACUGACGCUCAGGUGCGAAAGCGUGGGGAGCAAACAGGAUUAGAUCCCCUGGUAGUCCACGCCGUAAACGAUGUCGACUUGGAGGUUGUGCCCUUGAGGCGUGGCUUCCGGAGCUAACGCGUUAAGUCGACCGCCUGGGGAGUACGGCCGCAAGGUUAAAACUCAAAUGAAUUGACGGGG